UAGCUCCUACGGGGGGCAGCAUUAGGGAAUCUUCCACAAUGGACGAAAGUCUGAUGGAGCAACGCCGCGUGAGUGAAGAAGGGUUUCGGCUCGUAAAGCUCUGUUGGGAGUGAAGAAAGAUAGAGGGAGUAACUGGCCUUUAUUUGACGGUAAUUACUUAGAAAGUCACGGCUAACUACGUGCCAGCAGCCGCGGGAAUACGUAGGUGGCAAGCGUUGUCCGGAUUUAUUGGGCGUAAGGCGAGUGCAGGCGG
rnacentral:rRNA from 1 species